rnacentral:snRNA from 1 species
AUCUUUGCGCAGUGGCAGUAUCGUAGCCUAUGAGGUUUAUCCGAGGCGUGAUUAUUGCUAGUUGAAAACUUUACCCAAUACCCUGCCUUGCUGACUUGAAAUAUAGUCAGCAAUGGCAAUUUUUGGCGGUCUCUGAAGAGA